rnacentral:rRNA from 1 species
UACGUAGGGUCCAAGCGUUAAUCGGAAUUACUGGGCGUAAAGCGUGCGCAGGCGGUUCUGAAAGUCAGCUGUGAAAGCCCCGGGCUUAACCUGGGAAUUGCGGUUGAAACUACGAGGGCUAGAAUCUGGCAGAGGGGGGUGGAAUUCCACGUGUAGCAGUGAAAUGCGUAGAGAUGUGGAGGAACACCGGAUGGCGAAGGCAGCCCCCUGGGCGUGAGAUUGACGCUCAGGCACGAAAGCGUGGGGAGCAAACAGG